rnacentral:misc_RNA from 1 species
AAGUCGUAACAAGGUUUCCGUAGGUGAACCUGCGGAAGGAUCAUUAGUGAUUUGGCCUCUGGCCUAAUACAUAUAUCCCAUACCUCUGUGAACCUGUUUGGCCCUCGGGCCUCAUUUCAAACAUUGUGUAAUGAACGUGAUAUAAUGAUAAUCAAUAUAACUUUCAACAACGGAUCUCUUGGCUCUC